ACGCUCGACACCUACGUGGAGGCAGCAGGUGGGGAAUAUUGCACAAGUGGGGGAAACCCUGAUGCAGCAACGCCGCGUGAAGGAAGACGGUUUUCGGAUUGUAAACUUCUGUUCCUAGUGAAGAUAGUGACGGUAGCUAAGGAGCAAGCCACGGCUAACUACGUGCCAGUAGCCGCGGUAAUCUGAGCGGGCUGGCAAGGC
rnacentral:rRNA from 1 species